GCAAGACAUUUUGAUGUCGACAUGCAUAACAACAUCUGUGACCAAACAAAUACUUGAGAUAUGUGGCCCUGUUUAGUAUAUUAAGUAUGGCAAUAUCCGAACAGCUACAACUACACGUUAUUCGUUAAAGUUAAUAGGGAUAUAGCAUUUGAUAAACGUUGGAAGUUUGACGGUUUCAUUAAGUUUGUAUACCCCCCAUUGUACUAUCAUCAUCAACAUCGCAUAUAAACAAGAGAUAAAAAUGUCAAAUCAUCAAAAUAUUCAGUUGUAUCAAUUAAGCCAAGGCCAAUGAAACCAGAAAUGAAUGAGAUAAACAAUCCAGUAAUAAAUAUUCA